ensembl:snRNA U6 U6 spliceosomal RNA
GUGCUUGCUUUGGCAGCACAUACACUAACAUCAGAACGAUGCAGGGAGUAGCCCGGCCCCUGCGCAAGGAUGACACGCAGAUUCGUGAGGCGUACUGUAUUUUU